UGCGCAGAUCGAUUCCUAGGAGCUCUUCAUCGCCAGCAUGAGUGACCAAGGAGAGAAGACUUGCCCACUAUGUGCUGAAGAGAUGGAUCUCACUGAUCAGCAAUUGAAGCCUUGCAAAUGUGGCUAUCAGAUUUGUGUUUGGUGCUGGCAUCACAUAGUAGACAUGGCAGAGAAAGAUCAGAUAGAAGGGCGUUGUCCUGCUUGUCGCACUCCAUAUGACAAAGAAAAGAUUGUAGGGAUGACUGUUGACUG